AACGAACGCUGGCGGCAGGCUUAACACAUGCAAGUCGAACGGGCGUAGCAAUACGUCAGUGGCAGACGGGUGAGUAACACGUGGGAACCUUCCUAGGGGUACGGAACAACUCAGGGAAACUUGAGCUAAUACCGUAUACGUCCGUGAGGAGAAGGAGUUAUCGCCCUUAGACGGGCCCGCGUCGGAUUAGCUAGUUGGUGGGGUAACGGCCUACCAAGGCGACGAUCCGUAGCUGAUCUUAGAGGAUGAUCAGCCACACUGGGACUGAGACACGGCCCAGACUCCUACGGGAGGCAGCAGUGGGGAAUCUUGGACAAUGGGCGCAAGCCUGAUCCAGCCAUGCCGCGUGAGUGAAGAAGGCCUUAGGGUUGUAAAGCUCUUUUGCCAGGGACGAUAAUGACGGUACUGUAAGAAUAAGCACCGGCUAACUACGUGCCAGCCGCCGCGGUAA
rnacentral:rRNA from 1 species